rnacentral:rRNA from 1 species
UGAGGAAUCUUGCGCAAUGGGGGAAACCCUGACGCAGCAACGCCGCGUGAGUGAGGAAGGCCCUCGGGUCGUAAAGCUCUGUCAGGUGGGAAGAAAUCGAUGAAGGAGAAUAUCCUCCAUUAUUGACGGUACCACCAGAGGAAGCACCGGCCAACUCCGUGCCAGCAGCCGCGGUAACACGGGGGGUGCAAGCGUUGUUCGGAAUCAUUGGGCGUAAAGAGCGUGUAGGCGGCCAGGUCAGUCAGAUGUGAAAGCCCUGGGCUUAACCCAGGAAGUGCAUUUGAAACUGCUUGGCUAGAGUAAGGGAGAGGAAAGUGGAAUUCCUGGUGUAGAGGUGAAAUUCGUAGAUAUCAGGAGGAACACCGGUGGCGAAGGCGACUUUCUGGCCCUAUACUGACGCUCAGGCGCGAAAGCGUGGGGAGCAAACAGG